rnacentral:rRNA from 1 species
CAGCAGCCGCGGGAAUACGGAGGGUGCAAGCGUUAAUCGGAAUUACUGGGCGUAAAGCGUGCGUAGGCGGCUUUUUAAGUCGGAUGUGAAAUCCCUGAGCUUAACUUAGGAAUUGCAUUCGAUACUGGGAAGCUAGAGUAUGGGAGAGGAUGGUAGAAUUCCAGGUGUAGCGGUGAAAUGCGUAGAGAUCUGGAGGAAUACCGAUGGCGAAGGCAGCCAUCUGGCCUAAUACUGACGCUGAGGUACGAAAGCAUGGGGAGCAAACAGGAUUAGAUACCCCAGUAGUCCCUGUCUCUUAUAC